rnacentral:rRNA from 1 species
UACGGAGGGUGCAAGCGUUGUUCGGAAUCACUGGGCGUAAAGCGCGUGUAGGCGGUUUCGUAAGUCUGGUGUGAAAGCCCGGGGCUCACCCCCGGAAGUGCACUGGAAACUGCAAGGCUCGAGUACCGGAGAGGAGGGUGGAAUUCCUGGUGUAGCGGUGAAAUGCGUAGAUAUCGGGAGGAACACCGGUGGCGAAGGCGGCCCUCUGGUUGGAUACUGACGCUAAAACGCGAAAGCGUGGGGAGCAAACAGG